GCGCCGAUGGUUCAAUGGUAGAAUGCUCGGCUCCCACGCGAGCGAUCCGGGUUCGAUUCCCGGCCGACGCA
rfam:Trichuris suis scaffold168.3, whole genome shotgun sequence.